rnacentral:rRNA from 1 species
CUCAGGAUGAACGCUGGCGGCGUGCUUAACACAUGCAAGUCGAACGAUUAAAGCUCUCUUCGGAGAGUGUAUAGAGUGGCGAACGGGUGAGUAACACGUGGGCAAUCUGCCCCUCACACUGGGAUAACUCAUGGAAACGUGAGCUAAUACCGGAUACUCCGGGAUGACCGCAUGGUCGACCCGGGAAAGCUCCGACGGUGAGGGAUGAGCCCGCGGCCCAUUAGCUUGUUGGUAGGGUAAUGGCCUACCAAGGCGACGAUGGGUAGCCGACCUGAGAGGGUGAUCGGCCACACUGGGACUGAGACACGGCCCAGACUCCUACGGGAGGCAGCAGUGGGGAAUCUUGCACAAUGGGCGAAAGCCUGAUGCAGCAACGCCGCGUGCGGGAUGAAGGCCUUCGGGUUGUAAACCGCUUUCAGCAGGGAUGAAAAUGACAGUACCUGCAGAAGAAGCCCCGGCUAACUACGUGCCAGCAGCCGCGGUAAUACGUAGGGGGCAAGCGUUAUCCGGAUUUAUUGGGCGUAAAGAGCGCGUAGGCGGGCUAUUAAGCGAGAUGUGAAAACUGGGGGCUCAACCCGCAGCUUGCAUCUCGAACUGGUAGCCUUGAGUCUGGUAGAGGAGUGUGGAAUUCCCAGUGUAGCGGUGAUAUGCGCAGAUAUUGGGAGGAACACCAGUGGCGAAGGCGGCACUCUGGGCCACGACUGACGCUGAGGCGCGAAAGCUAGGGGAGCGAACAGGAUUAGAUACCCUGGUAGUCCUAGCCGUAAACGAUGGGCACUAGGUGUGGGGGGUUAUCAACUCCCUCCGUGCCGCAGCUAACGCAUUAAGUGCCCCGCCUGGGGAGUACGGCCGCAAGGCUAAAACUCAAAUGAAUUGACGG